ensembl:snRNA U2 U2 spliceosomal RNA
AUCGCUUCUCGGCCUUUUGGCUAAGAUCAAGUGUAGUAACAAUUAACAAAUAAUGUUCACACACAACAAAAAUGAAUUUUUGACCCCAU